ensembl:snRNA U6 U6 spliceosomal RNA
GUACUUGCUUUGAUAGCACACACAGUAACAUUUGCAAUGUACAGGGAAGAUUAACUGACCUGCUGCACAAAGAUGACACACAAAUUUAUGAAGAUGGUUCUUUUUAU